rnacentral:lncRNA from 1 species
CAAAAUGGGACAGGGAUUCCCAAGGGGAUGCAAAAGAAAGAAACAUACACACACCAAAAACAUCCAAAGAAUACCUUUCUGCCUUCCUUGCUGCCUGUCAGCUCUUCUUAGAGUGCUCAAGUUUCCCAGUCUACAUUGCAGAGGGAAACCAUACAUCAGAGUCACAUUCUGAGAAACCUGACACUGACUGUGAGCAUGCCCACCCUCCACAGUGGCUCCAGACUCUGAUGAGUGCUUGCAGCCAAGCAAGUGAUUUCAGUGUACAGAGUGUUGCUGUGUCUCUAGUCAUGGACCUGGUGGGCCUGACUCAGUCUGUUGCCAUGGUCACUGGAGAAAACAUCAACAGCAUGGAGCCUGCACAAC